rnacentral:tRNA from 1 species
GGGCGUGUAGCUCAGCUGGUUAGAGCACCUGCCUUACAAGCAGGGGGUCACAGGUUCGAGUCCUGUCACGCCCACCA